rnacentral:rRNA from 1 species
GAGAUGUUGGGUUAAGUCCCGCAACGAGCGCAACCCCUAUCUUUAGUUGCCAUCAUUGAGUUGGGCACUCUAAAGAGACUGCCGGUGUCAAACCGGAGGAAGGUGGGGAUGACGUCAAGUCCUCAUGGCCUUUAUGACCAGGGCUACACACGUACUACAAUGGCCGGUACAAAGGGCAGCGACACAGCGAUGUGAAGCCAAUCCCGAAAAAGCCGGUCUCAGUCCGGAUUGGAGUCUGCAACUCGACUCCAUGAAGUUGGAAUCGCUAGUAAUCGUGGAUCAGCACGCCACGGUGAAUACCGUUCCCGGGCCUU